CACACUGGAACUGAGAUACGGUCCAGACUCCUACGGGAGGCAGCAGCUAAGAAUCUUCCGCAAUGGGCGAAAGCCUGACGGAGCGACACUGCGUGAAUGAAGAAGGUCGAAAGAUUGUAAAAUUCUUUUAUAAAUGAGGAAUAAGCUUUGUAGGAAAUGACAAAGUGAUGACGUUAAUUUAUGAAUAAGCCCCGGCUAAUCACGUGCCAGCAGCCGCGGUAAUACGUAAGGGGCGAGCGUUGUUCGGGAUUAUUGGGCGUAAAGGGUGAGUAGGCGGAUAUAUAAGUCUAUGCAUAAAAUACCACAGCUCAACUGUGGAACUAUGUUGGAAACUAUAUGUCUAGAGUCUGAUAGAGGAAGUUGGAAUUUCUGGUGUAAGGGUGGAAUCUGUUGAUAUCAGAAAGAAUACCAGAGGCGAAGGC
rnacentral:rRNA from 1 species